rnacentral:lncRNA from 1 species
UCAUCACACUCAUGGUUUGGGUUUAGUGUCUUUAUCCUAACACCUGGAAGGUCUCCAUCCCCAGAAAUGAGAACAACAAAAGGGCAACCAUGAACACGUGUGUACCUUAAUCUUUCUUUAUCACUUUUUUCUUGAUUUAAAUCUUUUUUGUUUGUCAGGGAAUAUAAGUUAAUACAUUUUCUUGCUUCAGGUAUGUCCUUGAAACUCAUACCCUUAUACAAUUCCUUGUAAUUUGACAGUCCAACAUCAAUUUCUCUAUUUUUCUGAAAUUUUAUUGUUUGUAAUUCCUCAGAAUCAUACCCUACCUCAUCACCAUCAUUGUCAUU